rnacentral:rRNA from 1 species
AUACGGAGGGUCCAAGCGUUAUCCGGAAUCAUUGGGUUUAAAGGGUCCGCAGGCGGUCAAUUAAGUCAGAGGUGAAAGCCCAUCGCUCAACGAUGGAACUGCCUUUGAUACUGGUUGACUUGAGUUAUACGGAAGUAGAUAGAAUAAGUAGUGUAGCGGUGAAAUGCAUAGAUAUUACUUAGAAUACCGAUUGCGAAGGCAGUCUACUACGUAUAUACUGACGCUGAGGGACGAAAGCGUGGGGAGCGUACAGGAUUAGAUACCCUUGUAGUCC